CCGCUCUCGCUCCCCCCGCCCCCGGGGUGUGUUUAUCCUGCGCAGCUGCCGGCCGGGGAGGCGGCUGAGGCGCGGCGGCCCCGCGGCAGCGGCAGCGGCGGGCGGGACGGCGAGCUGCUCGUCCAGCGCGCCCGGGUCGCUGGGCUGCCGUUCGCCUCGCUACUUUAUUUCCUCUAUAAAAAGUCAGCUGCGGAUGUCGAAUCUCCUGUCGUUACCUACAGCAGGUCCCAUGAUUUGAGUUUUUUUUAUGAGGAAGCGCUGAGACAAUACACCGCAGCCCGCUUUUAUACGGCACGUUUUUAUAUUGCACCUGCAAUACGCGGGCUCACAUAAUUUCACAGAGAGCUGUAAACUAUACCGUAAAGGAAGGUUUUAAGAGCGGAGGAUUACCCCGAGGAAGUCAUUGCAAGAGGACACACACAAGGGUUUCAGCAGAGAUAAUGUCCAACCAGAGAUGUUCCGCUGGCAAGAGCAUGCUAUGCCAAACAUUGUGGCCCGCAUGGUUGUGAGCAACCAGCACAACAGCCGGCAGUACAGCAGCGAGAAUGGAAAGGGAAGGGCAGACAGAGAACAAGAUGGACAUCUCYUGCCAGGAGUUAGUGACCAGCAACACAUGGUGGAACAAAUGUUAARUUAGUGGAUUGAAUGUCAAGGGGGAGGGACAGCAGAACAUUCAGAUGUAGUGUUCCUGGAGUUGUGUAGAAGUCCAUCAGCUUGCUAGUGUGCCAUAAUGAGAAAACUAACCUGUGGUAAUGCUGGAGUAAUUGGACUUCUUGAAGUAUAGAAUCAGUAUGUUGGGUACAGUCAGAAGCUGCCAUAACUCAAAAAGGCAAACAAAUAGGAAGUAGAGGGCACAAACUUGUAUGUCAUCCGGAGAAAAAGAGCCUAUAGUCAGACUGUCUCUGAGAGAGAAAAUCCAUAAAAAGACGUCCAGGCUUAUUCUUAAAGUAGAAUAAAGAGUGCAGCUAAGAAAUAACUGUAAAUCUU
rnacentral:lncRNA from 1 species